UACGUAGGGUGCGAGCGUUAAUCGGAAUUACUGGGCGUAAAGCGUGCGCAGGCGGUGAGUUAAGUCUGAUGUGAAAGCCCCGGGCUCAACCUGGGAAUGGCAUUGGAAACUGGCUCGCUGGAGUGUGGCAGAGGGGGGUGGAAUUCCGCGUGUAGCAGUGAAAUGCGUAGAGAUGCGGAGGAACACCGAUGGCGAAGGCAGCCCCCUGGGCCAACACUGACGCUCAGGCACGAAAGCGUGGGAGCAAACAGG
rnacentral:rRNA from 1 species